rnacentral:rRNA from 1 species
GAUGAACGCUGGCGGCGUGCCUAAUACAUGCAAGUCGAGCGAACAGACGAGGAGCUUGCUCCUCUGACGUUAGCGGCGGACGGGUGAGUAACACGUGGAUAACCUACCUAUAAGACUGGGAUAACUUCGGGAAACCGGAGCAAAUACCGGAUAAUAUAUUGAACCGCAUGGUUCAAUAGUGAAAGACGGUUUUUCUGUCAGUUGUAGAUGGAUCCGCGCCGCAUUAGCUUGUUGGUAGGGUAGUGGCUUACCAAGGCAACGAUGGGUAGCCGACCUGAGAGGGUGACCGGCCACAGUGGGACUGAGAUACGGCCCAGACGCCGACGGGAGGCAGAAGUGGGGAAUAUUGCACAAUGGGCGGAAGCCUGAUGCAGCAACGCCGCGUGCGGGAUGACGGCCUUCGGGUUGUAAACCGCUUUCGCCUGUGACGAAGCGUGAGUGACGGUAAUGGGUAAAGAAGCACCGGCUAACUACGUG